AUAUUUAUCCUUCACUGAAUAUUGAAGCAGUAUGCAUGUGCCUGUACAGACUUCUACUAGAACAAGUACCAGGGACGAGUUGGAGUGCAAACAUAUACAAGGAUUUGGCACAUAUGCUAUGCCACGAUUCGUAUUUUAGCUUUAACAGCUUGUAUUAUAAGCAAACACGGGGUCCUGAUAGGAAGCCCGCUAGCGGGCGCACUAGCAGAGCUGGUGAUUACAUUAGAAAAAACAGAUAUAAGCAAAAUGAUAAGUAAAGCAAAGUUCUACGCAAGGUACGUGGACAACGUAUUUGCAAUAUGGGAAUGUGAAGAGGAAGAGGAAAACUUAAGUAAAGAGUUCAUGUUGCCAAAUCAUGGCCUGUCCUUAG
rnacentral:lncRNA from 1 species